rnacentral:rRNA from 1 species
CUUCCCCAAUAGUACUGGACGUUGGAGGGCGUCGAGGAGGUCUUCGGCGAUAAGGCGCGCGUCGAUCGGCUGGACAGCCGCACCCUGGAGCGCGACCACACCAAAACCUUCGCAUGUUGGGUGUGGGUCUGGGAGAUGGCAUUCAUCCCAACCCAUCACACCUAUUGGAAGCUGCCCCAGGGCGCUGGCCGGGUUGAGGAGAUGGAGGGCUUUUCGCCGCUGGACCGCCACGUGGCCUCGCCGCCUGGCACCGAACGCUACAACCUGCUCAUCCAUGUGGAUCGGUUGGAGGACUGGUUGCCCAGAUCGCUGCGAUCCUCGCACUCGGCCCCGAGCGGCUUGCCGUCCUCCGACUCCGACCACAAUGACGACCUGCCGUGCACCUUCCCUGGCACUUGGACGAUGCACGUGGAGGACAGCCAGGUGGAAGAACACACCGUAGGCUGCGGCGGGUGCCUAUGGUGGAAACGGGUUGCGGGGGCCUCCCAAGGGGCGGCCCUUGCCAUGACCACGACGACCAGGGCGGUGGCGGUCGACACUCCUGGAAGGACACCCUCCUGGGUUAGGGGCGCGGCAGCACCUCCAAGGCGGGCGACGACGGAGCAACAAGCAAGGCGCACCAAUGCAGCUGCUCCCCCCCUCCCCUCCCCCGCCCUGCCGCUCAGCCUGCUCCUAGGGUAG